AACAAACGCUGGCGGCGUGCCUAAUACAUGCAAGUCGAACAGGGAAAGCUUUCGGGUGAGUACUAGUGGCGCACGGGUGAGUAACGCGUGGAUAAUCUGCCUUAGAGUGGGGGAUAACUAGUCGAAAGAUUAGCUAAUACCGCAUAAGACCACAAGAACUGCGGUUCAAGGGGUCAAAGGUUUUUCGCUCUAAGAUGAGUCCGCGUAAGAUUAGCUAGUUGGUAGGGUAACGGCCUACCAAGGCGACGAUCUUUAACUGGUCUGAGAGGAUGAUCAGUCACACUGGGACUGAGAAACGGGCCAGACUACUACGGGAGGCAGCAGUAGGGAAUAGUGCACAAGGGAGGAAACUCUGAUGCAGCGACGCCGCGUGAGUGAUGAAGGCCUUCGGGUCGUAAAGCUCUGUCGCAGGGGAAUAACACAAUGAAGGUACCCUGUAAGAAAGGAUCGGCUAACUUCGUGCCAGCCGCCGCCGUAAUAC
rnacentral:rRNA from 1 species